AGUUUCAGCCCCGGGAAGAACGCCAUCAGGCCGUACACAGGAACCAUCAAGGCGGAGCUGAAGCUGAAGACGGCGGCGGCGGACAAACCCGACACCAACAUCACGCCGCCGCCCGCAGAGGCAACCCCCCCGGUGGCGGCGGCAGCGCCUUUCGCAGCGCCGCAACAGCCCGUGCAGGCGGCAGUAGCGGCGGACGGUAUCGCUGCCGCCGCCGUCGCAGCUGCAGCUGCUACUGCCGCUGCCGUCACCACCCAACGCGGCGAUCCGUCUGCCGCCAGCCCCGUCGUCGUCGCUGCUGCUACUGCUGUUGCUGCUGUAGCUGCAACCGUAGGUAAGUUACGGCCCCUGGGGCCCACCAGGACCGCUACAGCGGGGGGGGG
rnacentral:lncRNA from 1 species